rnacentral:rRNA from 1 species
AGCAUUUAUACUGCGAAACUGCGAAUGGCUCAUUAAAUCAGUUAUCGUUUAUUUGAUAGUACCUUACUACUUGGAUAACCGUGGUAAUUCUAGAGCUAAUACAUGCUAAAAAUCCCGACUUACGGAGGGAUGUAUUUAUUAGAUUAAAAACCAAUGCCCUUCGGGGCUCUUUGGUGAUUCAUAAUAACUUCUCGAAUCGCAUGGCCUUGCGCUGGCGAUGGUUCAUUCAAAUUUCUGCCCUAUCAACUUUCGAUGGCAGGGUCUUGGCCUGCCAUGGUUACAACGGGUAACGGAGGGUUAGGGCUCGACCCCGGAGAAGGAGCCUGAGAAACGGCUACUACAUCCAAGGAAGGCAGCAGGCGCGCAAAUUACCCAAUCCCGAUACGGGGAGGUAGUGACAAUAAAUACUGAUACAGGGCUCUUUUGGGUCUUGUAAUUGGAAUGAGUACAAUUUAAAUCCCUUAACGAGGAACAAUUGGAGGGCAAGUCUGGUGAACAUCUGCUGGUGCCAGAAAUAGUGGGAUGCCCUUAUAAAAACUCACUAGUCGAGCAUUCGUCAGUGGCGGGUGAAUGUCGGCGAGACAACCUGGAUCGAGGAAGGCUAAAGGCUUUAAACGGCCUAUGCUGAUCUCGAGCGGAGUUACCCUGUAGUUACCCUAUAGGCGUGGCCCGUGUAGAGCGCGGAAAGGUGUCGGUCUUACCCUGUAAGGCUUAAGGAACGUGCCAGUCCCUACAGAAAUGUAGGCCAGAUAUCCAAGCGCCCGCCGCGUGAAGGUAUUUGGGGUAUUGUAAAUCUGACAAUACCGUAUCGCAGUGGGGUUCUUACUUAGUAAGGCCCACCGUACAAAAUAACGGCCAGCAGCCGCGGUAAUUCCAGCUCCAAUAGCGUAUAUUAAAGUUGUUGCAGUUAAAAAGCUCGUAGUUGAACCUUGGGCCUGGCUGGCCGGUCCGCCUCACCGCGUGCACUGGUUCGGCCGGGCCUUUCCCUCUGGGGAACCCUAUGCCCUUCACUGGGUGUAGCGGGGAACCAGGACUUUUACUGUGAAAAAAUUAGAGUGUUCAAAGCAGGCCUAUGCUCGAAUACAUCAGCAUGGAAUAUAGGAAUAGGACGUGUGGUUCUAUUUUGUUGGUUUCUAGGACCGCCGUAAUGAUUAAAAGGGACAGUCGGGGGCAUCAGUAUUCAAUUGUCAAAGGUGAAAUUCUUGGAUUUAUUGAAAACUAACUACUGCGAAAGCAUUUUGCAAGGAGUUUUCCUUUAUUCCGGAACCAAAAUUAGGGGGAUCA